rnacentral:rRNA from 1 species
GGCCAGACUCCUACGGGAGGCAGCAGUGGGGAAUAUUGGGCAAUGGGCGCAAGCCUGACCCAGCAACGCCGCGUGAAGGAAGAAGGCUUUCGGGUUGUAAACUUCUUUUAAGAGGGAAGAGCAGAAGACGGUACCUCUUGAAUAAGCCACGGCUAACUACGUGCCAGCAGCCGCGGUAAUACGUAGGUGGCAAGCGUUAUCCGGAUUUACUGGGUGUAAAGGGCGUGUAGGCGGGGAAGCAAGUCAGAUGUGAAAACCACGGGCUCAACCUGUGGCCUGCAUUUGAAACUGUUUUUCUUGAGUGCUGGAGAGGCAAUCGGAAUUCCGUGUGUAGCGGUGAAAUGCGUAGAUAUACGGAGGAACACCAGUGGCGAAGGCGGCCUGCUGGACUGCAACUGACGUUGAGGCCCGAAAGCGUGGGGAGCAAACAGGAUUAGAUACCCGGGUAUG